AGAGUUAAAUAGUACGUGAAAUUGUUGAAAGGGAAACGAUUAAAGUCAGUCGUGCCGGCGAGAAAUCAGCUUACAAGCUAUUGUGAGUGUACUUUUUCGCAAGGCAGGUUAGCAUCGGUUUUGGUCGUGUUAAAAUGAUUGCAGGAAGGUGGCUCCUUCGGGAGUGUUAUAGCCUGUUCUAGAUAACAUGAACAAGACCGAGGAUUGCAGCGAAUGCUUUGCUACGAAUCUGAUCUCUGUCGAGGGCUCGCUUGGCUUGAGCUUGCUCGGGUAGAGUUAGUUCCUUUACAAUAGGUCAGAAUUCGAUAAAUUCGCUAAGGAUGCUGACGUAAUGGCUUUAAACGACC
rnacentral:rRNA from 1 species